rnacentral:rRNA from 1 species
UUCCGGUUGAUCCUGCCGGACCUGACUGCUAUCGGAUUGAUACUAAGCCAUGCGAGUUAUUGUAGCAAUACAAGGCAGACGGCUCAGUAACGCGUAGUCAACCUAACCUAUGGACGGGAAUAACCUCGGGAAACUGAGAAUAAUGCCCGAUAGAACACUAUGCCUGGAAUGGUUUGUGUUCAAAAUGAUUUAUCGCCGUAGGGUGGGACUGCGGCCUAUCAGUUUGUUGGUGAGGUAAUGGCCCACCAAGACUAUUACAGGUACGGGCUCUGAGAGGAGUGGCCCGGAGAUGGGUACUGAGACACGGACCCAGGCCCUAUGGGGCGCAGCAGGCGAGAAAACUUUGCAAUGUGCGAAAGCACGACAAGGUUAAUCCGAGUGGUUUCUGCUAAAGGAACCUUUUGUCGGUCCUAGAAACACCGAUGAAUAAGGGGUGGGCAAGUUCUGGUGUCAGCCGCCGCGGUAAAACCAGCACCUCAAGUGGUCAGGAUGAUUAUUGGGCCUAAAGCAUCCGUAGCCUGCUUUGUUAGUUUUCGGUUAAAUCUGUACGCUCAACGUACAGGCUGCCGGAAAUACUGCAAAGCUAGGGAGUGGGAGAGGUAGACGGUACUCGGUAGGAAGGGGUAAAAUCCUUUGAUCUAUUGAUGACCACCUGUGGCGAAGGCGGUCUACCAGAACACGUCCGACGGUGAGGGAUGAAAGCUGGGGGAGCAAACCGGAUUAGAUACCCGGGUAGUCCCAGCUGUAAACCACGCAAACUCAGUGAUGCAUUGGCUUGUGGCCAAUGCAGUGCUGCAGGGAAGCCGUUAAGUUUGCCGCCUGGGAAGUACGUACGCAAGUAUGAAACUUAAAGGAAUUGGCGGGGGAGCACCACAAGGGGUGAAGCCUGCGGUUCAAUUGGAGUCAACGCCGGA